rnacentral:rRNA from 1 species
ACGCUGGCGGCGUGCCUAAUACAUGCAAGUCGAGCGAACAGACGAGGAGCUUGCUCCUCUGACGUUAGCGGCGGACGGGUGAGUAACACGUGGAUAACCUACCUAUAAGACUGGGAUAACUUCGGGAAACCGGAGCUAAUACCGGAUAAUAUAUUGAACCGCAUGGUUCAAUAGUGAAAGACGGUUUUGCUGUCACUUAUAGAUGGAUCCGCGCCGCAUUAGCUAGUUGGUAAGGUAACGGCUUACCAAGGCAACGAUGCGUAGCCGACCUGAGAGGGUGAUCGGCCACACUGGAACUGAGAAACGGUCCAGACUCCUACGGGAGGCAGCAGUAGGGAAUCUUCCGCAAUGGGCGAAAGCUUGACGGAGCAACGCCGCGUGAGUGAUGAAGGUCUUCGGAUCGUAAAACUCUGUUAUUAGGGAAGAACAAAUGUGUAAGUAACUAUGCACGUCUUGACGGUACCUAAUCAGAAAGCCACGGCUAACUACGUG